CAAAAACCCAAUCAUAAAGAGGGAAAACUAACGAAGAGAGUGUGAAGCUUGAAGUCUCGCGCACAGCUUCUUCUUCGUCUUCGAUUUCAUGAAAUACUAGGGUUUCGAUUACUGGCUACACGAGAAUAUUUACAUAUAGAACAGAAAUCAAUCGUUUUGGCUGCGAUUUUUGUUGUUGUUCAAGUAUGGAUAAUCACACGUUAUGGGGUCAUUUGCCAUUGUUGGUGAGAGCGAACUCGAAAGAGUCAGUUGAAUACAUUCUUCAAUCCCUCUGGCGGACUCGAAAGGUCGGUCUCGACUCCGCCGACCGCGAUAUCAUCCGCGAAAUGCUCCAACUCGAUAACGAAUCCGACCUCGAUCCUCUUUUGGUAUGCCUUCGCAUGCUUAUCCGCAGGUGUGUUUAUGAGAAUAUCAAUAAAGACGAGAUUCAAAAGCUCUUUCCCAGUGAGGUCCUUCCUGAAUUACAAAGAUUAUUGACACUUCUGCUGCAAAAGUUUCAAAGGGAAUGGCGGGAAGACAUACAAAAGGACCAGGUUACCUUGCCUCGUUUAAAGGCUAUGACAUGGAAUAUGGCAAACCCAGACACAGAAUUGACAGACCCUGUUGCAGUUAUCAACCUGAAGCUUCAAAAUGACACACAGUCCAAUGCUGGAGAAAUGGAUGUGAAGUUUCAGUUGGCUAAAGAUACCUUGGAAACAAUGUUGAGGUCCAUGUACUGUAUAAGAGAUCAGUUAUCUGACAAUGGUGAACCAUCAAAUUGACAUGUAAACCAAGAGACAAAUAUAAUUUAGUUCCCAUAUGCUUAACUUGAAAGGCAUGAGACUGAGUAGUCGCAAUGAGAAAACCAGAGGAUUCAUUCAUCUUGUGUGCUCAUGCUAUAUUGCUGACGGCACAAGUUUUCACACAGCUAUUUAGAUGGAUCCUCCUCCUCCUAGUUGACUUUUUUGUGGAAGCAAAAGUUGGGUCUACCCAAAAAUAAUACAUGUCACCACAAAGAAGCUUGUCUUUUCUUCUUGACCAUUGGAUAAUAAUGAACAAUGAAAAGUAUUAAUGUACUUGUGUUUCGGCAUAUGAUUGAACCUACUUUUCAAAGAGUAGGAGCUUUCAUUCUUUAAAUUCUUAUAUUAUCCAUACUUCCCCUCCCAUCUCUAUGUUACGUUCCGGUGCUAUUUGAGCUUCAUGUGUAUCGUCUUUCUAAGUUAUUGGUUUUGAGUUGGAUAUUAUUUCUGAGGUAGUUAUAUAGAGGUAUUGUAUGGGGAAAUUUGAAAAAAAGUAUAUGUAUAUAUAUAGUAAUAAUUGAGUCAAAACUUAUUUUAUCUCA